rnacentral:lncRNA from 1 species
CAAUUAGGUUCUGUGGUCCAGCUGUGGGAGUGGUGCUGAUUCACCGGUUAGACCAGCUGUGGGAGUGGUGCUGAUUCACCGGUUAGACCAGCUGUGGGAAUGGUGCUGUUUCACCGGUCAGACCAGUUGUGGGAGUUGUGCUGUUUCACCGGUCAGACGUACCAUGACAUUGCAGUUUGGUUUGUGACCUGCCAGUAUAAAAGCUCUGGUGCAAGAGGUUUGUCUACAUACAUCCGACAACAUGAAGGUUCAACUUCUCACGCUGCUGCUCCUGCUGUGCAGCACUCAAGUGCUCACACUCAGAUGCUACACCUGUGGAGGUAUCUGGAACUGCAAUGCGCAGACAGAGUGCCCGGCAUCAGCUCAGUACUGCAAGGCCGUGUGGCUCGGUGAACAAUUUGAUCGAACUUGUGAGGAAUAUUGUGUCGAAGAUGAAUACACAUAUUGCUGCCAAGAAGACCUCUGCGGCCCAGAAAUCAACCCUCAGCGCUGAUUUUCGCUUUCUGAAAAAUUAAAUGGAUAUAUAAAAAAAAUGUAUUACUUAAAUCUAAAUCAGAUCAAAGAUGAUUUUUCUAUCCUGUUUUGCUUUUAAUGUCAUUAAACUCCACAAAUAUUGAAUUAUUGUGUCUCAUUCAUUAUAUCACAGCCCAAACUGCGCAACACACUGGAAGUCAGUUUGUUUUAUUAAAGGAGUGCUAGAGACAGUGCAACACACACACACACACACACACACACACACACACACACACACAUAAUCCCUUCCUGAUGUCAGUUAGUGGGUCAGUUGGGCCUGCUGCUAUGUGGGUCGCUGUCUGUCUGCUGU